rnacentral:lncRNA from 10 species
GGGCAGGCCCUUCAGCUCCAUUCUCCUCCAAGGCUGCAGAGGGGGCAGGAAUUGGGGGUGACAGGAGAGCUGUAAGGUCUCCAGUGGGUCAUUCUGGGCCCAGAGAUGGGUGCUGAAGCUCCCACGCCUGCCUGUGAAAAUGGAGUCCUCUCUCACCUGGGAGAGCCAGGUGCUGCCCCGAGAAGGAUGCAUUUAUGGCUUCAUGAAGUCUUUCCUGACCCCCGAUGCUGCUGACUAUAGAGACAAAGACUCACUAUGUUGCUCAGGCUGGUCUUGAACUCCUGGCCUCAAGCGAUCCUCCCACCUCAGCCUCCCAAAGUGUUGGGAUUAUAGACAUGAGCCACUGCACCUGGCCGACCUUGGGCAAGUUCUUAAACCCUUCAAAGCCUCAUUUUUCUCCAAUCACAAAAGGGAAAGAUGGUAAUAUUUUCCCCACCAAAUUCUUGUCGGAUGCCCUCACAGAAUUGAGAUUAUGUACGUAAAACACAAGGUGCCUAACCCGGCACAGAGCAGGAGGGCUAAGCGUGACAUCCAGCACGUGGUCAGUGGAAUCCAGUAUUCCUA